GCGGAGGGAUCAUUACCGAGUUAUACAACUCAUCAACCCUGUGAACAUACCUAAAACGUUGCUUCGGCGGGAACAGACGGCCCUGUAACAACGGGCCGCCCCCGCCAGAGGACCCCUAACUCUGUUUUUAUAAUGUUUUUCUGAGUAAACAAGCAAAUAAAUUAAAACUUUCAACAACGGAUCUCUUGGCUCUGGCAUCGAUGAAGAACGCAGCGAAAUGCGAUAAGUAAUGUGAAUUGCAGAAUUCAGUGAAUCAUCGAAUCUUUGAACGCACAUUGCGCCCGCCAGUAUUCUGGCGGGCAUGCCUGUUCGAGCGUCAUUACAACCCUCAGGCCCCCGGGCCUGGCGUUGGGGAUCGGCAGAAGCCCCCUGUGGGCACACGCCGUCCCUCAAAUACAGUGGCGGUCCCGCCGCAGCUUCCAUUGCGUAGUAGCUAACACCUCGCAACUGGAGAGCGGCGCGGCCAUGCCGUAAAACACCCAACUUCUGAAUGUUGACCUCGAAUCAGGUAGGAAUACCCGCUGAACUUAAGCAUAUCAAUAAGCGGAGGA
rnacentral:rRNA from 1 species